rfam:Gossypium arboreum cultivar AKA8401 contig_5624_1, whole genome shotgun sequence.
UGUUAAAAAAUUUAUCCAUUUGUACUGUUAAAAACUAGCGUGACUACAUGUACCUUAUGUUGAUAUAUAGAGACCAGUUUUUAACAGCAAAAAUGAAUGAAAUUUUUAACA